rnacentral:rRNA from 1 species
UCGUGCAAAUAAUAUAACACAUACCCGGAAUCGGAUCCCAUUAGAACUCUAUAGUUAAGUGUGCUCAGGCUAGAGUAGUACUGGGAUGGGUGACCGCCCGAGAAGUCCUAGUGUUUUACAUGCC